rnacentral:rRNA from 1 species
AUUGAACGCUGGCGGCAUGCCUUACACAUGCAAGUCGAACGGUAACAGGUCUUCGGAUGCUGACGAGUGGCGAACGGGUGAGUAAUACAUCGGAACGUGCCCGAUCGUGGGGGAUAACGAGGCGAAAGCUUUGCUAAUACCGCAUACGAUCUACGGAUGAAAGCGGGGGAUCUUCGGACCUCGCGCGGACGGAGCGGCCGAUGGCAGAUUAGGUAGUUGGUGGGGUAAAAGCUUACCAAGCCGACGAUCUGUAGCUGGUCUGAGAGGAUGAUCAGCCACACUGGGACUGAGACACGGCCCAGACUCCUACGGGAGGCAGCAGUGGGGAAUUUUGGACAAUGGGCGAAAGCCUGAUCCAGCCAUGCCGCGUGCAGGAUGAAGGCCUUCGGGUUGUAAACUGCUUUUGUACGGAACGAAAAGCCUCUUUCUAAUAAAGAGGGGUCAUGACGGUACCGUAAGAAUAAGCACCGGCUAACUACGUG